GUUGAACGCUGGCGGCAGGCUUAACACAUGCAAGUCGAGCGGUAACAGAGAGAAGCUUGCUUCUCUGCUGACGAGCGGCGGACGGGUGAGUAAUGCCUAGGAAUCUGCCUAGUAGUGGGGGAUAACUUGCCGAAAGGUAAGCUAAUACCGCAUACGUCCUACGGGAGAAAGGAGGGGACCUUCGGGCCUUUCGCUAUUAGAUGAGCCUAGGUCGGAUUAGUUAGUUGGUGAGGUAAUGGCUCACCAAGACCGCGAUCCGUAACUGGUCUGAGAGGAUGAUCAGUCACACUGGAACUGGGACACGGUCCAGACUCCUACGGGAGGCAGCAGUGGGGAAUAUUGGACAAUGGGGGGAACCCUGAUCCAGCCAUGCCGCGUGUGUGAAGAAGGUCUUAGGAUUGUAAAGCACUUUAAGUUGGGAGGAAGAGCAGUUAACUAAUAUUUGACUGUUUUGACGUUACCGACAGAAUAAGCACCGGCUAACUUCGUGUCAGCCGCCGCUGUAA
rnacentral:rRNA from 1 species